AUUUUACUCCCUCCGUUGCACAAUACAUGCCUUCUAUUUGUCAAAAUAUAUAUGUAUCUAGACAUGUUUUAGUAUAUAGGUACAUCCAUUUUUCGACAAAUGGAAGUCAAGUAUUUUGGAAUGGAGGGAGUACACA
rfam:Triticum aestivum genome assembly, contig: Triticum_aestivum_CS42_TGACv1_scaffold_030393_1BL